rnacentral:rRNA from 1 species
CCUACGGGAGGCAGCAGUGAGGAAUAUUGGUCAAUGGGCGCAAGCCUGAACCAGCUAAGUAGCGUGAAGGUUGACUGCCCUACGGGUUGUAAACUUCUUUUAUAAAGGAAUAAAGUGAGUCACGUGUGCCGUUUUGUAUGUACUUUAUGAAUAAGGAUCGGCUAACUCCGUGCCAGCAGCCGCGGUAAUACGGAGGGUCCGAGCGUUAUCCGGAUUUAUUGGGUUUAAAGGGAGCGUAGAUGGGUUGUUAAGUCAGUUGUGAAAGUUUGCGGCUCAACCGUAAAAUUGCAAUUGAUACUGGCAGGCUUGAGUACAGGUGAGGCAGGCGGAAUUCGUGGUGUAGCGGUGAAAUGCUUAGAUAUGACGAAGAACUCCGAUUGCGAAGGCAGCUUACUAAACUGCCACUGACAUUGAUGCUCGAAAGUGUGGGUAUCAAACAGGAUUAGAUACCCCAGUAGUC